rnacentral:sRNA from 1 species
GCUGGGCAUGGUGGUGCAUGCCUGUAAUCCCAGCUACUCAGGAGGCUGAGGCAGGAGAAUUACUCGAACCCAGGAGGUGGCGGUUGCAGUGAGCCAAGAUGGUGCCACUGCACUCCAACCUGGGCAACAGAGCAAGAUUCUGUUUCAA